UGGAAAAAUAAGGAAAAAAAAAAAAAAACUAAGAGAUACAGUGAAUUUUCCUGAUAAAGUACAGAAGAGUAGCCUAUUCCUGCCAGUAACUUUUGCAGUGCUUCUGGAACAAAGCUAUUGCUCAGGUAUUAGGAUCCACUGAUCUCCAAGAUCUGCACUGAGCCCAGUGGGAAAUUCUGCUACGGUGAAGAUACAUUUAUCCGCUUAGCCUUAGGGCUUAUCUCUGAAGUGACAAUGAAGUAAAAGAUGUGGAGAAACCUGUCAUUGACCAGACUGCUGUCAUCCAUACGAAGACAAAACUUCUGGGUACAGAAAUACCAGCUCACAGUCACAGUUUAAAGGAAGCUUAAGAUCUAGCCAGAGCAAGACAACUCCAGAUCUUCAAAGGGUGGUUUUGCAAGCCUGCAUACCAAACAGAAAACUUACUCCUGGAAAGGAUAACCUUGGAGGAACAAAGCUGUACCUGAUUUACCUGUCAACUGGGUCAAGACAGCAGCUGGGAAGUUACAGUCCCCUCACGGUGCCAGAGAAUUUUUGUUUCAAAUUAAGCUCAAGUCAAGCAUGAGUUGCAGUUUCAUUCAUAUUAAAAUAAAUGGGUGCAUUAUUCAGCCUGGAAAUAGGAAGGUUCAAUAUGUGUUUGUGUGUGUGUAUUUUUUUAAUAUGUAUGUAUAUUAACUCAUGAAAAUUAGAAAGUUCUUACUCAAGAGGUACUAGCGCAGACAGAGAGGCACGAACAUGAACUCCUAAAUGUUUCUUUUCCUCCAUGUUCAAGAUAAGUGUUUGUCUCUGAAGCCACUGAAUUUUCUUCAUAAGGUUUCUUAAUAUUUCUUUUGAUAUCUAUAUAUAAAACAAUUGUUACAUAAGAAUAAACAAAACACUUAUAUACUGUGCUAAAUGAACCUGAAUUUUUUUGAUUCAGGUGAGUAAAUCAAGAAUAUUGACCUAUUUUCUUGUCCUUUCCCUCAAUAAAACUUUUACUUUCAUUCUUUUUCUAAUUCUUUAAUUCUGUGUUUCCUUUGUUUUCUCUGGCCAGUGCUAUAUUCAAGUUCUGGCUGGAGUAUCAUGAUAUGCUCUGAGGCUAGCAGAAAAUUAAUAUUUUUGUAAUGUAAACUGGCAUGGACAAGACUAAGAAGAGAUACCAAAAUCACAAAUACCAGACAAAGAUCAGCUAUAGACACAAAAUUGUUUGAAAUAUUUUCCUCUCUGUAGUUCUGUAGAACAGUAAAAGCAAACAUGUUUAUAGAAUCUGUACAAAAUAAUUUUUAAGAAAAAUUCCAAGGCAAAAUUAUCGCUACUCUGUCAGCUCUUAAACUUCAAUGCGAGCUUUCACGUAACAUGUUUCAACACAUCAGAGGCUGUUCACAUCCAAGCCAGCCUCUGGCCUCUGGCUCUCUGUGCACACCGAGCGGCCCCAGCAGCCCACCCAGUCCACCGCUGGCAGCUGCCAGCAGCCACGACACGGGUCCCACACAUGGUGUAAUCCCGCAGGCGUCAAGAGUCUGUGGGAAUCGCCACUGAUGCCAGGCUCGUCGCGAGUGAAGUCCCCUACCUGCUUUCCCAACUGUCACACAAGUGGCCUCAACUCUUUGAUUUGUUUCAUUCUCCAUAGAGUAGCACUAACUGGAGGUUAGGGAGGGUAGAACCAUUACAAUAAAAAAAAAAAAAAAAAAAAAAAAAAAAAAAAAAAAAAAAAAAAAACGGGGGAAAAGAAUAAACAAGCAAGAAGACACAGCACUGCUGGGGAAGGAAAAGGGCUUUGGUUCUGGAUAAUGCGACAUGCCAGAGGAUUUUUUUACCCUCUGCUUGUGAGACUGACAGGCAGCACAUCCAUCACACCCGUGGAUGGAACCAGCACCCCCUUCUUCCCCUCGCACCCCCUCAGCCCAGCUGUGACUGGCAAGGGCGAAGCAAAGCCCGCCCAAAAGACCCCCUGUGUGGUGUGGCGGCCCGACGGAACCCCAGCUCAUGCCCCAAACACCGACAGCGAGCUCGGGCAUGGGAAACAGCCUCCGGCAGGCAGAAGCUAUAA